CCUGCUUAUGGGACAAAUUCUGUAAGCAGUGAAGAUGACUUCUGAGCCCUGGCCCCGACUGCUGGGCUACAGCCACAGAGAGCACAGGUGAGGCAUGCAUACAGUCAGCAGCCCAGCCUGAACGUGGUGGUGGCUGGGCUGCCCCGAGAGCCUCCUUCCCUUGGCCUGAAAGUGCCACUGUCUGCGCUUCUCACAUCCCUUUUUAUCUGCUGUGUUUCAAAGCUAGUUUUAUGUUAGGCUUGGAGGGAAGGCAUGAGCAGGUAGUCAUGGCUCAGAAAAACCAAGAGAGGCAAAGCACCACAGGAGAGCCCAAGACUUGCACUGUUGGUUUGGAGCCUCCUCAUAGGAGCAAAAUCACAGGUGUACAUUAUGUGAGAGGAUGGGGAGCAGGGGGAAAUCCUACUACAGAAGGGAUUAAAGGAAGCUGGGGAGAGCAGCUUACCUAGUUUGCUUGCUGAGUGGUUGCUCCUGCUGUGUGCUGUUUGUGCUGCCCAGCAGCAUCUUCCUCGCUUGUGUGUCUUCUCCAAACUCCAUUUUACAGCACUGGAUGUAUUGUUCUACAAGUGUCACCUUCCUGACAGUGGAGCAACUGCAAAUAUAAAGGGCAGCCUUUAGAGCACUAGAUGAUAUUACAAGAGCCUUGAUUAGCACCCUGAAGACUACAGCUAACAGGCUGAAGAAGUAGGAUGUACAUCCAACUGUUCCCAUGGUGGCUCUGUCUGCUGCACUACAAAAAGCCCACUCUCCCUUCAUUGGAUCAGAAAGACCUUGUUGGAGACCCGCUUGGUCCGGUAAGGCUUGAAUAACGCCCAAGGAAAUCAGCAGCAAUCUUGAGGAGACAAGAACUCCAGGAGACUAAAUAAGGAAAACCAGAGUACUGCUGUGGUUACAGGCAUCUCUCCCACCAGCAGCACCGGUUUCUGCAGCUCCUGUUGCUGCUGUGCCUCCUUCUCCCAUUGCAAGCUUGUCUCUUCCCCUUCGUGGUGCUGGUACAAUUCUUCACAAGGUCAAGGGUCAAGUGGAUCUGGGAACUAUCCCAAGUUUAGAAACAAUCUUCCCCCCCCCCCCCCCCCCCCCUUACUAUUGCCCGUAAGUUCACGAAACUCUGGCCAAGAACAGUCUCUCGCUUUUGUUAAGAAGUCUGUGAAAAGCUAAGAGUUGGGAUGGGGUUAGGAGUGAGAAAUUAAGAUGUUUCCCAGAAAUCCAGGCAAGGAUUUUGUGAAGUGAGGAUCACGAAGUUAGAAAUAGAAAUGGUAGGGACAAUUAGGAGAGAGGCUCUAAUACACUAGAAACCUCACAGUUGUUCUUGAUUGUAUUACAUUUUAUUGCACUGUUGUUGUACAUUAAAUCAUCUAAUCCAUCCUCUGCCCUGUGCAAGAAGAAAUGGGUAAAUGAAUGGGAUAUUGGCAAUUAAUAACAUUUUUCUGUUUAUAGUACCACCAACCUCCGUAAGAGAUCGCUAGGUGUAUUUUACACAGCUAAGAAUAAUAACAUUAUGACUAUGGGGAUAGUUGCUUUGUAACUCAACUCCAAGGAACAAAAGAGGCAGCAUCCAGAAGAUUAAGCUUCACAGAAACCCACCACAUGUCUUAGGGCUUGGAUCUCCAUGGUGCUGAUCAUCUCCUGGAAAAUGCUGAAAAUCCUCACUCACUGAAUGGCAGCUGAGAUGUCUCAUCACAUUUGGGGAGGUGUGAAAAGUGGCUUUCAAUAAUGGGCUCUUAAAGUACAAGGGUGGGGAAGCAAUACAGUAGGACCCCCUGCCUUAAAAUACAAAGCCCAGGACUUCUCUCAAGGAAUGUUUGCUUCCCGCCUCCCUUUGUUUCCCCGGAUCUUACCAAUUCCUAUAUUCUUCCAGAUUCCUCAGGUUGGAAGUGUCUUGAUAAAAACUGGAAGGUAGGAACAUUUUCAGACAUGUUUGUUGUCUCUAAACUAUCAUGUGAUCAGGCUGCAGCUGUUGGUUUGUAAUUUCUG